ensembl:lncRNA
ACGCAGUCUGCUGGCUGACCUUCAUCCCUCAGAUCUCUGACCAGAACAUGAGCUUUGGCUGUGAGGUGCAGAACACAGCCCUGCUGAAGCCCAUCUUAGAGGAGUUCACGCUGCACAUCCCAGUGGAUUCUACCCUGACAACGUGUCUAUUCUCUGGAUCCAGAAUGGAAAGGUUCUUCCUAACUGUACUUUGUCCGUCCAGAAUGAGGAAGGAAUGUACGGGAGACAUCAGUAUCUCACCCUGAGUGCGGAGGAGAGGAGCAGAGGAGGAGAGGUGCAGUGUGUGGCCAGCCACCUGAUGUGAAAGAACCUGCCUUUGGAACUAUUGACCUCUCCGCCGUUGACCCACAAGAGAAGCUGAAGUCUCUGAACAUCUCAGCGAUUGUUCUGCCCCCCAGGGUGGUUGUGAGUAAGAAAGGCAGAGUCACCAUCAGUGUGGAAGGCAGGUUGGCAGAGAGAGUACAGACCACAUGGUUUCUCAAUGAUGUCCCCAUUACAGACACUGCAUACAGAGAGAAAAAAUAUGGUCCUUUUUGCUUGGCAGCCUAUACUCCUCACAGCUCUCAUGUGUCUUUGGUGUCGGAGAAAAGCUCUCUGCUGCCCUCUGCUGCUGCCUCAGGAUAUUACAAGCUGCACACUCAGAUGUUGCCAUGCUUGUUCUCCUGCUCCAUGAAGCAGCUGUUCUCCUCCGUCACAUUUAUAACAAACCUGUCCAUUCACAAGGGUGCAGUUUUCAAAUGCCACAUCUCGUAUAAGGGCAAAGACAAGCUUGUGGCCAAGAGAGUUUCCGACAAGUUUACUAUUCAAGCACCACCUGAAGUUUCAUUGAUCCAGUUCUCAGAGUCAAAUGAGGAAGGAGGUGCAGUAUGACAAACAGUGCACACAUUAAAAUAGUGCAAACGAUGUAAAUGCAUCAUUACAGAAGGUUUUCUCUCCCCAGGCGUUGUGACCAUGAUGGCCCAGGCCUCUGGCUUUCAUCCGGACAUCACCACCUUCCGCUGGUUCUGUGAGGGCAGCGAGCUGAGCCCCGUGUCUGUCCCGCAGGUGCUGGCGGCCCCUCGGCCAGAUGCUGCAGGCUUCUUCUCUUCUUCUGCAGGCCCCCGCCGCAGAGCUGGAGCGAGGGGAGACCCAGGUGUGGGUCACUGUCCACCACACGGCCCUCAAACAGCGCCUCACACACCAGACUAGAGGUGACAUAACUGAGCACUUGUGAUU